rnacentral:lncRNA from 7 species
UUUAAAGAAAUCGGUGUACACGGUGAGGAUAAGAUAAAACACUGGUUUAGUAUCACGCAGUUAUUCCACUAGAAAUUCAAUGUUUCAUUACUUGAUUGAACAUGGCAAAGCAAUCAGGUCCUUGAGAAGGAAUAAACCUGAAUUAUAUAAUGAAACAUUGUAGACCUUCAACCAAGAAAAGGGGGGAAGUACUACACAUGAAAUCAAGAUUUUGUAUAAUUAUUGAUGGACUCCAUUCCCUUUGCUGUUAGAUAAGGUUGUGCACGUGUGAACAUGCGUGCAGCAGCACACACGUGCAUGUACAGCCUAUUUGUGUGUGUGUAGGAACACAUAGGUUCUCAUGCACGCAUACCAUCUCCACUUCAGCGUUUCACUGUAAAGUAUUAAGAUUGAGACAAGCAGACAUCACCUGGCACAAUCUGAGCUAUGUUUCUGAAAUGCCCAGCGUCCCCAAAGCCCUCCUCUGUCCCACUGCAGCUUUAGAACUUCCUGCGAGUCUGGUUACACCAAAUGGAGAUUGAUGAGAAAACACAUUUUGAAAUUAUUAAAGCCCCUUCUUCAGAUGAGCGCAUUCCUCUGAUGUUGAACCUUCUAGGACAUCAAGCUCCAGGAGGUGAACGGUGAAUUACCCUGGUGAUGGGUGCUAUUUGGAGGCGUAUACUGCUGUAAUGAGAAUGUACCAUGGUUCCCCUUGAAUGAGCACGGUGGAAGAACUUGAGAUCUGAUCUGAGGCAGCACAUUUAAAAUACCUAACUAACAGAACAAGUGUGUUGUUCCCUUUUGUCCUUGUUCCCUGGGAAAAGCAUCAGAAGUGCUGAGCUUUUGAAGAUCUUCUCCCUGCCAUUUCAAACCCAUCCUGAAGCACUGGCUGGCCAAUUAAAAUAAUCUUCUUUGGAAAGCAUUCACUGAAGCUGAGAAUGAAAGCUUCUGUCUACUAUAUCUAUUUUACCCAUUCAUUAAUUUACGUAACUCUCUCCACCGUUAAUGAAGUGUCUGUAGGCAUAUCUCAAAAGAAGGAGAAGACCACAAAAAUUGAGACAUUUCUGUUGGAGAUGAACCUUCCAUAUGUUGCAGAUCUAUCUCAGACACUUAUCUUAGCUUAUCUCCACCUGUUUAGAUUGGAAAACCGACAAAAAUCCAUCUCCCAUGAGAUUUCCAAGGUUUCUUGAUUUUGUUUGAGUCAGAGCUGCCAUAAGAGAUGCAUUUCUCAGAGCCCUUCUGAGCUGCUGCCAGGAACAGGGAGUGCUGGGCUGUGCCACUUCAACAACAACAGAAAGAGUUUUCUUUGAAAAGUCACCAAAUUUUAUAAGCUUUAAAAAAAAAAAACCUUAAAAAAAAAAAAAAAACUUUAGCCUCGUUCAGUCUCAGAUCUGAUUAAAAGAGCUGCCCUGAUUUAUUGGUGUCAAACAAAGUAUGUUUGGGUAGAACGCUAUUUUGUAAUGGAAAAAGCGUCAGUGGAAGCACCGCCUCUCAGCGCUGCUUGGGUUGGAUGAGUGCUAAGCCUUAAAUUAUGAUUGUGCUGCUGAAGAAAAGGAGGACUGCUGGAAACGCUGCAGCUAAGAGGCCCAUCUCUCACUCUUCCAAAUAAAGCCAGGAACCUUCUACCAGAGCAUUGCCACCAGGAUGAGUCUGCAGGGACCGCCCAGACACACCUGGAAAAUCAAGUGCCAGAAACCAGUGGUUCAGGGCUGCCAAGCACCUCUGUUAAUAUAUCAGUUUAUACCUGCAAGACCUUGUCCCACCAAACCAAAAAAAAACCCAUCAUUCUACUCGUGCACUUUUCCCCAAAACACCACAAAAGUGACUUUUGGCCUUUAAAUCUGAUCCAUCUCCAUUUGAGAUGCCACCGAGGCUACAGCUGAGACUGGAAGACCUUAUAUAAAUUUAAUUCAAUAAAAGUUAUUUGGAAAC